rnacentral:lncRNA from 1 species
UAGCACACAGAUACUCAGAAGGUACGGAAAGAUAAGUCAGAAGCCAAAACUCAGUUACCAUUAUCAUGCAAAGGAACAACAUCACUCUUGGUAAAAACAAAUGACUUGGCAUGUGACCAAUACUGCUUUUCUUAAGUACUGCAGAGAAAAGGCUGAUAAUCACCCUCUAUCAAGCCCUACAAGUAGGAGACCUAGAAAUGGUUACUGACCAUUGUUAUCUCUCAAGGAGUUGAAGCAAACUGACCUUACACAUUGGAGUUCGUUAGCACUCGCCAACACAGAUUACAAAAUAUAGGGAGGAAUUCUCCUCGGGACAUUAAGCAAUAUUUGCAAAUGUGUGCAGGUAAGUGUUGACUACCUGAUCACUCUGACCAGGAAAUGCUUCUCAGCAACGGUGUGAUCUCUUUUUCAAAGUGGAAAACAUGAAUAUUAUUGUCACCAGCUCGUCGCGGGGAGGCACGGCGGAAGGGACCAGCGAAGACUGCAGCUCUUACGAGAGGAAAUGGAAAUCCAACUGACAACAAAUAUUCGUUGAGCACUACACUGUGCUAGGCACAUGAGAACUAAUACCUCCAUGGCUGAUAAAGCCUUUCAGAAGACAGCAGAGAGGCCCUGUCAACGACUGGCUGAACCACCAGGACCGGUAGGCGAAGGACCCCACACCCCGCAGCCAGCAUCCUGGCUGGUCCCCAGAACCACCCAGCACUCCAGAGUUUGCUGAAUCUGUAGGUAAACUCUUAUUGUGCAGGGGCGAAGCAUUAAGAAAAAAAAAGCAGGUUUGUUUUCUUUUUACUUAUCGACUUCCAAUAGCUCCCCUCUGAAUGCCGUCCAGGGCAGUAGACUGGCAUUCGAGAACUUACAGGUUUUGUAUCCAGAUCUGUCUUUCAUCAACCAGACACCAUCCAAAGCCACCCAGCCUGCACCUUUCACUCACUUAGCAAGAACCGGGAGGAUUUUCACACACUGAAUACGUAGGUGAAUUAAUUAACCCAGCUGGGAUUGUUGUGUAUGUGACCU